GACGAACGCUGGCGGCGUGCCUAAUACAUGCAAGUAGAACGCACAGUCCAUACUUUCGUUUGCUACACCAUUGACUGUGAGUUGCGAACGGGUGAGUAACCCGUAGCUAACCUUUCGGGUAGCGUGGGGUAACUAUUGGUAACGCUAGAUAACACCCCAUCAUAUUAAGUAUUGCUUGGAAAUUCACUGAAAGUUGCAAUUGCACCGCUACUAGGUGGAUCUGUGGUGGAUUAGCUAGUUGGUCAGGUAGAGGCGCAUCUAGGCGACGAUACAGGGCCGACCUGAGAGGAGGAGCAGCCACGCUGGGACUGAGACCCGACCCAGACUCCUACGGGAGGCAGCAAGAGGGAAUCUUCGGCAAUGGGGGAGAGUCUGACCAAGCAACGCCGCAGGAGUGGAGAAAGUCGUCGGGUCGGGAAGGUCUGUUGUAAGGGAAGAACGGGUGGGAGGGUGGAACGUUGACACUGUGACGGUAUCGUACAAGAAAGCACCGGCUAACUACGUG
rnacentral:rRNA from 1 species